AUUGAACGCUGGCGGCAGGCUUAACACAUGCAAGUCGAGCGGGGUGAUGGUGCUUGCACUAUCACUUAGCGGCGGACGGGUGAGUAAUGCUUAGGAAUCUGCCUAUUAGUGGGGGACAACAUCUCGAAAGGGAUGCUAAUACCGCAUACGUCCUACGGGAGAAAGCAGGGGAUCACUUGUGACCUUGCGCUAAUAGAUGAGCCUAAGUCGGAUUAGCUAGUUGGUGGGGUAAAGGCCUACCAAGGCGACGAUCUGUAGCGGGUCUGAGAGGAUGAUCCGCCACACUGCGACUGAGGCACGGCCCAGACUCCUACGGGAGGCAGCAGUGGGGAAUAUUGGACAAUGGGGGGAACCCUGAUCCAGCCAUGCCGCGUGUGUGAAGAAGGCCUUAUGGUUGUAAAGCACUUUAAGCGAGGAGGAGGCUCUUUUGGUUAAUACCCAAGAUGAGUGGACGUUACUCGCAGAAUAAGCACCGGCUAACUCUGUGCCAGCCGCCGCGGUAA
rnacentral:rRNA from 1 species